rnacentral:rRNA from 1 species
GCGUCUAUCAGCAGUCGAACGCUUCUUUUCCCACCGGAGCUUGCUCCACCGGGAAAGAGGAGUGGCGAACGGGUGAGUAACACGUGGGUAACCUGCCCAUCAGAAGGGGAUAACACUUGGAAACAGGUGCUAAUACCGUAUAACAAUCGAAACCGCAUGGUUUCGUUUUGAAAGGCGCUUUACGGUGCCGCUGAUGGAUGGACCCGCGGGGCAUUAGCUAGUUGGUGAGGUAACGGCUCACCAAGGCCACGAUGCAUAGCCGACCUGAGAGGGUGAUCGGCCACAUUGGGACUGAGACACGGCCCAAACUCCUACGGGAGGCAGCAGUAGGGAAUCUUCGGCAAUGGACGAAAGUCUGACCGAGCAACGCCKCGUGAGUGAAGAAGGUUUUCGGAUCGUAAAACUCUGUUGUUAGAGAAGAACAGGGGUGAGAGUAACUGUUCACCCCUUGACGGUAUCUAACCAGAAAGCCACGGCUAACUACAUGCCAGCAGCCGCGGUAAUACGUAGGUGGUA